rnacentral:rRNA from 1 species
UGCCAGCCGCCGCGGUAAUACGGAGGGUGCAAGCGUUGUUCGGAAUUACUGGGCGUAAAGCGUGCGUAGGCGGUUUGAUAAGUCGAGCGUGAAAUCCCAGAGCUUAACUCUGGAACUGCGUUCGAUACUGUUGAACUUGAGUGUGGGAGAGGGAAGCGGAAUUCCUGGUGUAGCGGUGAAAUGCGUAGAUAUCAGGAGGAACACCCGUGGCGAAAGCGGCUUCCUGGCCCAUUACUGACGCUGAGGCACGAAAGCGUGGGGAGCAAACAGGAUUAGAUA